UGGAAACUNUCUGACUUGAGUGCAGAAGGGGAGAGUGGAAUUCCAUGUGUAGCGGUGAAAUGCGUAGAUAUAUGGAGGAACACCAGUGGCGAAAGCGGCUCUCUGGUCUGUCACUGACGCUGAGGCUCGAAAGCGUGGGUAGCGAACAGGAUUAGAUACCCUGGUAGUNCACGCCGUAAACGAUGAGUGCUAGGUGUUAGGCCCUUUCCGGGGCUUAGUGCCGGAGCUAACGCAAUAAGCACUCCGCCUGGGGAGUACGACCGCAAGGUUGAAACUCAAAGGAAUUGACGGGGGCCCGCACAAGCGGUGGAGCAUGUGGUUUAAUUCGAAGCAACGCGAAGAACCUUACCAGGUCUUGACAUCCCGAUGCUAUUCUUAGAGAUAGGAAGUUACUUCGGUACAUCGAAGACAGGUGGUGCAUGGUUGUCGUCAGCUCGUGUCGUGAGAUGUUGGGUUAAGUCCCGCAACGAGCGCAACCCUUAUUGUUAGUUGCCAUCAUUAAGUUGGGCACUCUAGCGAGACUGCCGGUAAUAAACCGGAGGAAGGUGGGGAUGACGUCAAAUCAUCAUGCCCCUUAUGACCUGGGCUACACACGUGCUACAAUGGUCGGUACAACGAGUUGCGAGCCGGUGACGGCAAGCUAAUCUCUGAAAGCCGAUCUCAGUUCGGAUUGGAGGCUGCAACUCGCCUCCAUGAAGUCGGAAUCGCUAGUAAUCGCGGAUCAGCACGCCGCGGUGAAUACGUUCCCGGGCCUUGUACACACCGCCCGUCACACCACGAGAGUUUGUAACACCCGAA
rnacentral:rRNA from 1 species